AAUCAGCUGGACACAAAACACAAUUUUGAUGAAUCUGUUUGUGUCUCUUCUCACAGCAUGAGUGUGUGUUCACACACUAACCCAGUUUCACGUCUCCUCUCUCUGUUAGAAGGAUGUUGGCCCCCUGGAGGACACAGAUACGUCCAGGUGAUGCAAACCCUGGAACAAAACAGGAAGAAUGGGAUUCAGGAGAGCAGCAGAUCAUGUAUUCCUUCCCAGUAAAAUUACUUUUUCCAUAAACAAUCCCUUUCCCCAAAGAUGAAAUGACUCCCUAAUUGUUAGAAGUUAGAACAGAGAACAUGACCCUUUUAGUUUGCUGUUAUACCCAGGAUUAAAAAGAAGUUCUGCUCACGUCCAACUACUGCAUUCUUUAAGCUUCUUUAUCUGGAUUUAAGUAGAGAUCUAACUAAGAUAAAUCUCUUGUGGAAUCAAGGACAUUUAUGUUGAAAGUAUUCCAGUGCUAAACACGUCUUUGCUUCUCUGUGGUUACUAAAUAAAUCACUAUAAGAAUA